GAGUAACGCGUGAGGAACCUGCCUCAAAGAGGGGGACAACAGUUGGAAACGACUGCUAAUACCGCAUAAGCCCACGGGUCGGCAUCGACCUGAGGGAAAAGGAGCAAUCCGCUUUGAGAUGGCCUCGCGUCCGAUUAGCUAGUUGGUGAGGUAACGGCCCACCAAGGCGACGAUCGGUAGCCGGACUGAGAGGUUGAACGGCCACAUUGGGACUGAGACACGGCCCAGACUCCUACGGGAGGCAGCAGUGGGGAAUAUUGCACAAUGGGGGAAACCCUGAUGCAGCGACGCCGCGUGGAGGAAGAAGGUCUUCGGAUUGUAAACUCCUGUUGUUGAGGAAGAUAAUGACGGUACUCAACAAGGAAGUGACGGCUAACUACGUGCCAGCAGCCGCGGUAAAACGUAGGUCACAAGCGUUGUCCGGAAUUACUGGGUGUAAAGGGAGCGCAGGCGGGAAGACAAGUUGGAAGUGAAAUCUAUGGGCUCAACCCAUAAACUGCUUUCAAAACUGUUUUUCUUGAGUAGUGCAGAGGUAGGCGGAAUUCCCGGUGUAGCGGUGGAAUGCGUAGAUAUCGGGAGGAACACCAGUGGCGAAGGCGGCCUACUGGGCACCAACUGACGCUGAGGCUCGAAAGUGUGGG
rnacentral:rRNA from 1 species